CUUGUACACACCGCCCGUCACACCAUGGGAGCGGGUUCUGCCAGAAGUAGUUAGCCUAACCGCAAGGUAGGGCGAUUACCACGGCAGGGUUCGUGACUGGGGUG
rnacentral:rRNA from 1 species